GACGAACGCUGGCGGCGUGCUUAACACAUGCAAGUCGAACGGAAAGGCCCUGCUUUUGUGGGGUGCUCGAGUGGCGAACGGGUGAGUAACACGUGAGUAACCUGCCCUUGACUUUGGGAUAACUUCAGGAAACUGGGGCUAAUACCGGAUAGGAUCUCCUGCUGCAUGGUGGGGGUUGGAAAGUUUCGGCGGUUGGGGAUGGACUCGCGGCUUAUCAGCUUGUUGGUGGGGUAGUGGCUUACCAAGGCUUUGACGGGUAGCCGGCCUGAGAGGGUGAACGGCCACAUUGGGACUGAGAUACGGCCCAGACUCCUACGGGAGGCAGCAGUGGGGAAUAUUGCACAAUGGGCGGAAGCCUGAUGCAGCAACGCCGCGUGCGGGAUGACGGCCUUCGGGUUGUAAACCGCUUUCGCCUGUGACGAAGCGUGAGUGACGGUAAUGGGUAAAGAAGCACCGGCUAACUACGUG
rnacentral:rRNA from 1 species